rnacentral:rRNA from 1 species
GAUGAACGCUAGCUACAGGCUUAACACAUGCAAGUCGAGGGGUAACAAGAGGAAAGCUUGCUUUUCUUGUUGACGACCGGCGCACGGGUGAGUAACGCGUAUCCAACCUGCCUAUAACUAGGGAAUAACCUUGCGAAAGUAAGACUAAUACCCUAUGAUUUCCUUUGAUGACAUCAGAUUAGGAAUAAAGAUUUAUCGGUUAUAGAUGGGGAUGCGUCUGAUUAGCUUGUUGGCGGGGUAACGGCCCACCAAGGCAAGGAUCAGUAGGGGUUCGGAGAGGAAGGUCCCCCACAUUGGAACUGAGGCACGGUCCAAACUCCUACGGGAGGCAGCAGUGAGGAAUAUUGGUCAAUGGGCGGAAGCCUGAACCAGCCAAGUAGCGUGCAGGAUGACGGCCCUAUGGGUUGUAAACUGCUUUUAUACAGGAAUAAAGUUAGCCACGUGUGGUUAUUUGUAGGUACUGUAUGAAUAAGGACCGGCUAAUUCCGUGCCAGCCGCCGCGGUAA